AUGCAGGCUGUUCAGCGAGGCCUUGCCUGUAGUGGCUCUGUUCUUUCCUGUAAAGUCUGCUAGAGAAACCUGAGGUGGUUUGAGGCCCUGCUGUGUCUCCUCCAUAGCAAGGUUAUAGAAACCUCAGACAGUU
ensembl:snoRNA